rnacentral:misc_RNA from 1 species
GAUGAAGAACGCAGCGAAAUGCGAUACGUAAUGUGAAUUGCAGAAUUCAGUGAAUCAUCGAAUCUUUGAACGCAUAUUGCGCUCUCUGGUAUUCCGGAGAGCAUGCUUGUUUGAGUAUCAGUAAACACCUCAACUUCCAUAUCUUUUUUGAAAUGGGAGUUGGACUUGAGUGAUCCCAACGCUUUUCCUCACCGAAAAGUGGCGGGUUACUUGAAAUGCAGGUGCAGCUGGACUUUUCUCUGAGCUAUAAGCAUAUCUAUUUAGUCUGCCUAAAAAACAGAUUAUUACCUUUGCUGCAGCUAACAUAAAGGAGAUUAGUUCUUGUGCUGACUGAUGCAGGAUUCACAAAGACAGCUUCGGCCGACUUUGUAAACUCGAUCUCAAAUCAAGUAAGACUACCCGCUGAACUUAAGCAUAUCAUAAGCGGAGGA